rnacentral:lncRNA from 1 species
GCCGCCCCGUGCAUUUCCUCCUCGUGUUCAGCACGGAGCCACUAGCUUCCUCUCCUCCCAGAUCCGCUUGCAGCAGCCAGCAACCAGGCCGUCCCGACCUCCAUGUAGCGCUGGCCGGCGACCAAGCCACCGGAGCAGCAGCCGCCGGCGACCACCCUGGUCGAGGCCCUGCAUGCCCGUGACCACCUAUGUUUUUCCCACCGCGCGAGCAAUAGCAACAACAGCCCCAACCCCAGUCGGCGCUUCCGAUCUGGAUCGGAGGGAGCGAGCUCCCGAGGCCAUCCUCGCUGGCAGCCGCACCGGCGACCGAAGCCGCCGGAGUAGCACCACGCCCAGGCCAGUGCCCCACCUCCCCGUGCUCUUCUCCCUCCUCUCUUCUCGACCUUCUCUCACCGUAGCCUCGCUGGCUCGCUCUCCCUUCUAUCUGCAGGUGCAGGAGUUGCCCAUCCAUGGCUGGCCGGAGCUGGACCAGGCGCCUCCAUCCAUCCCGGGACCCCGUCCCUGCCGUUCCCGACCAGCAGGCACCCAACGCCGCCAUCCUUCCUGGCCUCCCGCGCUCGGCUCUGAAUCGCCAUGGCUAAGGCCCGUGUUUUCCCCUGCUGUGAGCAAGCCUGUUCGUGGCGGUAGAUAUUUUUGGCCAGAUUCGUUUUAGUUUCGAGAGGUUAUAUAGAAUGGGCACUAGAUUUAUUCACAAACAUAGUAGUAUCCGAGUGGUUGUCAUCCCACUCCCUGUCCAGGAGGUCCUGGGCUCAAUCCUUGGCGCCUCCAAUCUUUUUUUCUUUGUUUUUAGCUCAUAUUUUCAGUGUCUUCAACCUGUUGGAAUGGUUAUAUUGGUUCAUACCUAGCUAUUGCCAGCGUUCUAUUGUAGACUAGCCGGUUAUUUAGGUGUGGAAUUAUGUAUGAGGUCUUGGAAUCGAAUACCAGCUUUGUCCCAUAUUUGUUUUCCCUGUCUUAUUUGUUUUUGCGAAUUUCAGAAAAACCAUCGAUUUUUCAAACACCCGUAGCUUUUAGACCAUGCACCGGAUCGAGACAAGUUAUAUAUGAAACUUGACUAGAAUUUUGCGUUGAUUAACAAUUUCCAACUCUCAUGCAUGUUUAAGGCUGUUAGCAUGCUGUUUGCAUCGGUUUGCGUGACAACGUGUUAAAAACGGUUUAGUGCGUAGUUAUUUACUCGUAGCUCCGUUGGAAAUGAGCCAUAUAUGUAAAUGGACUACAACGACGUGUAGUUCCACGUGAACCAUUUUGUUUUGCCGUUUAACAAACAUAAAAUAUGGUUAGGACAAAUCUGGACAGAAUUAGAAUUUAACAUGUGAGGUCGUUUCGGAGGUGCUAUAUGUCAUUUCCGACCUCACUUAAAAUGCCUAGAUAGGUAGUUUAAUUUCCGCUUCACCUCUUGCAUGUUUGACAACAUUAAUAUUGUCGUGUAGAUAACCGGGAGUGAACUAAAUAAUUAACGUGGAGUUUCGUCAAUAUGCAACUCGUGCAUAUUGAACUUCACUUAAUGUGUAGUGUUUGAUUGUGUGAUUUGUCAUGCCGUGACUUGCAUGUAUUAAGUAGCUCAUGCAUCAUAUGUGUUGUGCAUCGUGUGGUGAAUUUCGUGUGUUGAUUUGUGUUUCCAGUUUGCUUCGUCUCGAUAGAGUUCCGCAGCGUGCCGGAUUGUGAGGACCCGUUCGACCACGUCAGUUCGUCUGCUUCACGGAGGCAUACUUCUCCCAAGCGGGAUCUCAG